ensembl:lncRNA
AUAUUCUCUCAGAGACCGGAUCCAGCUGAACCUAAACCAUAUUCUCUCAGAGACCGGAUCCAGCUGAAACUAAACCAUAUUCUCUCAGAGACCGGAUCCAGCUGAACCUAAACCAUAUUUUCUCAGAGACCGGAUCCAGCUGAAACUAAACCAUAUUCUCUCAGAGCUGAUCCAGCUGCUAGUCAGUUGAUGUUAUUAUUAUUGACUUUAAUCUGAGUUCAGAUUUAAACAAAAACUAAUGUAUAGUUCUUCAAAGAUGACUGGUUGAUUUUCACAUUGUACUUUCGGUAAAUGUUAUGAGAGAACUAAAACGUUGAUAAUGUCCUUUAAAAGAAUGAUCAAUUAUAAUGUGCAUGAACAGAAAGGGAAGAGGUGUAGUGUCCAGAGGUCAUUUCGUUAUAAAAACGCGUCACUAGGGUCGCACAUUUCCGGUGACCUGGGAAUUAUUAUUUUUUUGGAAAGCUACCAGAAUUUUUCAAAAACAUUUGGAGGCUCUCACUCAUUCUGCUAUGGCAACACAAUGCCCUACACGCUGUAGGAAAAUCACUUAAUAAAAAAACAACUUUUUAUAUAUAGUUAAUUAUGAGACCAUCAUUACGCUGUGCGUAACGAUUGUACAGAGAAAAUUGUAGGUAUUUUUUGAGGAUCAAUUUGUUUAAUGACAUGUAGCUAUUUAAUUUUCCCCCUUUUUUUUGUUUGUGUAUAAAAUAAAUGUUUUAAAAAGUUGAUCUUUUUUUUUGUUUUUAGAGUUGUUCUUUUAAAAGGUUAAAGUGCAGGAACACAGUAAUAAUAUAAACACUGCGUUGAUGAUAGCCACUUGUGUAUUAUGACGCAUAAUGUGUAUAAUGCUGAAUCAAGGCUACUCAGCAGAUACUCUACAAAAGGUAUAUCCCAAAUGACAGUCUCUUCCCUUUAUAGUACACUACCAGAGGACAAAAGUAGUGCACUAAAUAGGGAAUUGGGGGGUCAUUCGGGACAGUGAUUUUUUUUUUGAGACUAUCUUUGUCGUCCAUCUUGUUUGUGAGAUCCGAACACUACUGUAUUAGUCAUGUUAUUUAAUGGUAGAUCACAGGAAGACUGGCUGUGUGCUUCUAAAUCAACAGCUGUGUCCUAAGUAGCACCCUUCUCUCAAAAGUAGUGCACUAUACAGGGAAUAUACCGUUGAAGUCAAAAGUUUACAUACACCUUAGCCAAAUAUAUUUAAACUCAGUUUUUCCACAAUUUCUGAAAUUUAAUCCUCGUAAAAAAUUCCCCGGUCAGUUAAGUCUUAUGUCUUGAGAUGUUGCUUCAAUAUAUCCACAUAAUUUUCCCCCCUCAUGAUGCCAUCUAUUUUGUGAAGUGAACCAGUCCCUCCUGCAGCAAAGCACCCCCACAACAUGGUGCUGCCACCCCCGUGCUUCACGGUUGGGAUGGUGUUCUUCGGCUUGCAAGCAUCCCCCUUUUUUCCUCCAAACAUAACGAUGGUCAUUAUGGCCAAACAGUUCCAUUUGUUUCAUCAGAGCAGAGGACAUUUCUCCAAAAAGUACCAUCUAUGUCCCCAUAUGUAGUUGCAAACCGUAGUCUGGCUUUUUUAUGGCGGUUUAGGAGCAGUGGCUUCUUCCUUGCUGAGUGGCCUUUCAGGUUAUGUCGAUAUAGUACUCGUUUUACUGUGGAUGUAGAUACUUUUGUACCUGUUUCCUCCAGCAACUUUACAAUGUCCUUUGCUGUUGUUCUGGGAUUGAUUUGCACUUUUCUCAUCAAAGUACGUAAAAACACAUUCUGAGUUUGAAGGUAGGCCUUGAAAUACAUCCACAGGUACACCUCCAAUUGACUCAAAUUAUGUCAAUUAGCCUAUCAGAAGCUUCUAAAGCCAUGACAUUUUCUAGAAUUUUCCAAUCUGUUUAAAGGCACAGUCAACUUAGUGUAUGUAAACUUCUGACCAACUGGAAUUGUGAUACAGUGAAUUAUAAGUGAGAUAAUCUAAAACAGAUAGUUGGAAAAAUGACUUGUGUCAUGCACACACUAGAUGUCCUAACCAACUUGCCAAAACUAAUUUGUUAACAAGACAUUUGUGUAGUGGUUGAAAAAUGAGUUUGAAUGACUCCAACCUAAGUGUAUGUUAAAUUCUGACUUCAACUGUAUUCCCUGACAAAGGUAAUGCAUUAUGGGAAUCGGGUCCCACUGACACACACAACUUUCAAGCUGCAUCAACAUUGUAAAACCUAGUACUAUGUUGUAGUACUAUGUAGUAGUACUGUAGUACUGUAGUACUACUAUGUAGUAGUACUAUGUAGUAGUACUGUAGUACUAUGUAGUAGUACUGUAGUACUAUGUAUUGUACUCUCCAAACUGUAAAAUCUUUAUUAAACCUUAAUUUUGUGGCCUUGUUUCUCCAAUUGAAAAAGUUUUUGUACUUAAGUCAAUGAACAAUAAAGUGCUCUGAAACGGCAA